UAAUGCCCACCCACGCCUCCCCCUCCGCCUGCCCCUUCCUUGGCAGAUCCGCCUAUGCCGCCCUCAAGGGCCCGUGCCCCACCACAUCUGCGCUGCCGCAAGCCCUCGCCCCCGCCGCCGACCGUCGUCGCGAUGACACCGCAGCUCCUCGCCUCCGUCGUCGAGGCUGUCGGCGGGGAGGACCGCAUCGCCGGCCUCCCCAAGGAGCUCCUCACACUCGUCUUCGGCAUGCUCGGCUCCAGCAACUGCAAGCACUGCUCCCUCGUCUGCUGCCGCUGGCUCGCCAUCAAGGCCGCCUCCCGCCUCCGCCUCGUGCUCGACGCCCGGGUGCCACUCCUUUGACGACGAAGCACUCCCCGCGCUCCUCCACUGGUGCGGCUCGCCGGCCUCCCCGCGCACUCCAGGUGUUCCCCCUUCUUCCCUUCACCCCCUCUCCCUCCCCUCUCCCCUCCUCAGAUCCAUCGCUUGCCGCUGCAUAGAUCCACCGCCUACUGCUGCUCAAAUCCACCCAUUGCUCCCCUCCCUAGCUAGCUCGAGGACCACCUCCGCAUCCUCCUCCCCCUCAUCCGGGUGCCUCGCCCCCACAGCUACUUCGAGCCCUAUGCCCCGUGGCAGGAGGUGGCGGGACAGCAGCCACACGAGCAGGCAUUGGGGUUGGUGUACGAUGUGGCGAGCGGGACGACGGCCGUGAUUUGUGAGCUCUGUUCCACUGCGCGUAGGCAAACCAGUGUAGGUGCGUGAUGUAUGGAGGCAGCUUCUCAAGCACCGUGGUGAAGGCCCACUCACUCCCCUUCGGCCACAGAUGCAGAACUUGCAGAUGGGCGAGGGGAGCUUCUUCGUGAGUGCCUUCCCUUUGUUCGUUCUGCAUACCAGUAGUUGUUAUCUCAUCUCCUCACAAUUUCAAUGCAAACUUUUCAUCUUACAGCAUGCUAGUAUUACCCUUUGGCUAGAAACGCAGAGCCUGUAGAUGUAUUGAUUUACUAUUUUAUUUCCUAAUCAAUAGGACAAAGGGUGUAUGUUGCUCGAUUGAUCGAGCUGUAGAUGGUAUUUGUAGAUGUUAUGCAUACUGCACGUGUGUUAGCUUUAAUGAUGAUAGUAUCUAGGUGUAGCUUAUAACUUAUUUCUGUUUUUCAUUUUCCUGUCAUGUUUGCCAUAGUUUGGUGGAGCUUUGUAUCCUUCAACAUUUUAUAAGCAGGAGUCAGGGAGGGUGAUAUGUUCAAGUGAUUAUGAGCACGAGCUUGAAUUUGCAUGGCAAUAAACUACUUCGGAGCCGCCGCCGGCUCCUGCUACUUCGGAGCCAAGGGAAUCGAGGGUGUUUUCCGCUCCUGCCUCCAUCUCGAGGACCAUCAAGCGCCUCUAUGGCCUCGCUAAAUCUGAGCCCAUCAAGGCUAUGGAUCCGGGGGCAGUCAUCAAAGCUGCACUGGGAAGCCGCAGCAGCGGCUUGGAACCAUCUCCCGACAGUAAGCACAAGCAGCUGUCCAGCUGCGAGCUGCAACCUGCAAGCAUAAGCAGAGCUAUUUGCAAUCGUAUUGUACAUAUACACAACAUUAAGGUUCUUCACUAACUGAUAUUUGUUUCUACUCACAGUUGUACUAUUUUGUGUUAGCAUUUUUUAGGAAACUUAUGCUAAAUCAACUAGCAUUUUGGUAAAAACUCAUAAGCAUUUUAAUUGGGUUAGUAAUGUCCUUUUACGAUCUCGUAUAGGCAUUUUAAUGUUGGUUCUCAAGAAUAUUCUACAGAGGCAAUAAUAUUAGUUCCGGUAGGCAAUAAUAUCAGUUUCCAUAAGCAAUAAUAUUGCUCUACCUAGGCAUAACAAUACAAUUUCACAAGAAUUGUGUCUGCGGGUGUUUUAUAAACCGUAGCUUUAAUUUUGAUGUUUCUAUUUGGUAGCUUGCUGAGCCUCCUUUACCGUCAACACUAGGGAACACAUAUAUGUGAUCCUCGUGAUGGCGGUCCACCACUGGGGGGAGAAUGCUUGUACAAUUGUACCCUUGAGGACAUAGCUGGGGAGGAAAAGAAGCGACUGCUCCCGAAAGGCACCGGGAAAAACAGUAGUGUGGUUUAGAAAAGCUCUAGCCGUUGAACCUGUCAAGUGCAAUCUGCGGCUCAGUGGGUGCUCAGCUUGUGGUCAUGAUGGAGGUGUGUACAGCUCCCCCAUGCGUAUGUUGAAGUCCUCCAAAAGUGUGUUCAUAAGUUGGUUGAUGUACUUUUCUUUUCUGCCUGCAAGUUUCUUCAGCAGAUCAACACUAUAACAUGCUCUACAUCUAUUUGGUGUUUGGUGAUCAGAAAGUUCAUUAGAUCAUCAUCAGCAGCAGUUUAGUUGCACCUCAACCUAGCUUGAUUUUAUUCAUGUGUAAUUUGAUAUUAGUUGUAGUACCUCCAAUCUUUUUGUUUGGUGGUAGUUUUAAUCAUCGGCUGUAAUCAGCAGUACAACAGUUGAGGCAAUCAUGAUUUGUAUGUGGUAGUAGUUUUGAAACUAUGUGAAUAUUUGGAAUUUAGAUGAGGUGAAACUUUGUAAAUGUUCUAAUUUGCUUUCAGAUUUUCAUAA